ensembl:rRNA 5S_rRNA 5S ribosomal RNA
AUCUAUGGACAUACCACCCUGAAGCCCGAUCUCCUCUGUUCUCCAAAGCUAAACAGGGUCCGGCCUGAUUAGAACUUGGAUGAGAAAAAGUGAAGAGGCCAGAGUCA